rnacentral:rRNA from 1 species
GACGAACGCUGGCGGCGUGCUUAACACAUGCAAGUCGAACGAAGUGGCGAACGGGUGAGUAACGCGGAAUCAACCUGCCCUUCAGAGGGGGACAACAGUUGGAAACGACUGCUCAUACCGCAUACUGAAGGAGGGGCUUGCGUCUGCUUAGCGAGUUGGAGGGGUAACGGCCCACAAGGGCGAUGAUCUGUAGCCGGUCUGAGAGGAUGAACGGCCACAUUGGGACUGAGACACGGACCAGAUGCCUACUGGAGGCAGCAGUGGGGGCUCUUCCGCAAUGGACGAAAGUCUGACGGAGCAACGCCGCGUGAGUGAUGACGGCCUUCGGGUUGUAAAGCUCUGUUAAUCGGGACGCGGUACCGGAAUAGAAAGCCACGGCUAACUACGUGCCAGCAGCCGCGGUAAUUC